rnacentral:lncRNA from 1 species
UUGUCUUUAGUAACCAACGACCGACAACAAGAAUCAAUUCCACUCAUCCGUCGGAUAUAACUCAUGUUGGCAAGAGCAUCGCCCAAAGCAGCCGCCUACGUCCGCCACUCUCUUUGGCGACCGUCAUUGGCUAUUGUGCAAUUGACUGUCAGAUAAUAUUUCAUUGUACUUCCAACCCGCAACAGACCAGAGCAAUAACCAGUAUAAAUUACAAUCAACAGGGAGUGACUUUUGGACUGGAAGACAUCUGCAAAGAAUGAUAGGAUACUAGGGCCACACAGCAGAAGUUUGAGCAACUAAACAACAAGGAGUCCUUGAGCUCUAUCUAUUAUUUGUUUAUACUACUGCUUCAUUUUUAAAAUUGCAUCAAUUAAAGUCUUGUAUUGCUGUUCUCAAAGCGAGUCCCAAAAUAUGUCACAAGAUUUUGAAGUUGAAAGUUCUAGACUUAGGGAUUCUUCUCCUGGCAUACUUUCCUCUUCAAAAGAUCUCGUCACGCUGAGUCAUGGUCUUUUUUUAAGCGAAUCUAUCUACUUUCGGGGCUAACUAGAAUUUCCAGGGAUAGUUCUCAGUCCAGGGUCGAUGAGGUUUACAACCCUUUAAUUGACUUGGAUAUUAAUAUAAAGGAUAGAGAGGUCUUUGCGGCCUCAGAGAUUUUUACUAAUAUUAACGAGAAUGAUUUGGAUGAAAUUCGAGAUCGCUUUAGUAUCCCUGCUGGCGUAAAGUUGCUAUGUGGUGUGCAAUUUCCAACUGUGGAUCACCCUUCCCAUUAUUGUAUAGCUAUCAAUAGGCACUCAAUGUAUGCAGGGCUUAUAAUACCCUUUCACCCUUUUUUCGCAUUAUUUAUCUUCCUUUAAUAUCAAUCUUACCCAAUUGCACGUCUUUCUCUGCAGAACGGGGGUAUUUGUAGAUAUCUCUGUAAGUUUUGUGUCAAUUCAGUCAUUUAAGAAGAAUGAUAGAUGGCGAUUUUUUAUUUGCUAGACUGUAACUGAUUUUGUUAAGAAUAUCACGUUUUAUUCAUUGAUCCACGAGUUAUUUUAUUAACAGCAUGUAACCAACCUAAAUGGGGGAAAUGUUCUCCUACUUGGCGAACCUUUUAUGCA